CUGUGUGACAUGCACUAGCAGACGAAGCUGGCGAUGCUGUAGGACUAUUUUCACUAUCAUAUUGUCGUACAGCACUUCUAUACUUUCUAUAUAUUGUUAUCAUUACCAGGUGGUGGAGACUUCACACUCUCAUCACACAGCUGCAAUUGUGUAGGGUUAUCGAACAGAUCGCACUUGUUUAAUAGGGUUUUACUUAUUGUUGUGGUUGAAGGAUUCUAAUAUUCAAUACGUAAUCAGGUGUGCCCUAUGGACUUAGGUUGACCCAUCACCUCAUUUCGACCAGUGCCGUGCAGUGAAGCUUCCAUUUGGCAGGAGUCCAAACACGAUCACGUGUCCUAUAACUCCAAAUUACGCCACCAGAGGUCGCACAGUCCUCCAAACCUGCCUGCAGGAGGAGGUUUCACUAGUCGCCGGUUGGAAGAGGCUAAAUAUCUAAACAACCUCCCCGAACCAUAAGGUGAUACCCGAGAAUCGUUACUUAAGUGCGCGUAUAUGGUGAGUGUCACGCGUAAGAUUACGCGUGGUGCAUUUACGUCAUGCCAACACCGUGUUGACUGGUGUGUGUGUGUGUGAAUCGUUUUAGCAGCAGUGUUGAUGGCGCCGAACUCCUCACAGCUAGAACUCAGGAUGUUCCCCGCGUACUUGGCCAGAGGAGUUGUCUUCCUUAUGCUAGGAAUUUUAUGUGUCCUAUCAAUAGUCCAGUGUGAAGCAUGCACAGAAAAUAGGACAGGAGAGAAAACAAGACAUGUUCAUAGGACACGGUGCAUCUUGCGUCAUGCACGUACAGCAGAUAAUGAUCCAACACCCUAUUUUGACAAUGCCACAAGUCGCAAUAUUACCACAAUGAAUGGAAAAACAGCGUAUCUUCCAUGUAGAGUUCGACAUCUGGGAGAUAGAACAGUAAGUGUUCCAUUUUAUAAACUGUAUUUGUUGAACUGUAGUCAUAAAAUGCAUUGUCUUUGUUUACUUUAUAAGCAGUCCGUAGCCAGGAAUAAAUCACCGAGAGAUUAAAGGGAAAAGUGAAAAAACUGUAAUUGAUAUUUCUUUUUCUAGCUAGCAUUGGGUCUAUUAGCUACAGUUCGAGUGUACGCUUUCAUCAUACCUAAGUUUACACGAUGAAAGCGAAAGCAUAUAUUAUAUAUAGGCCUACUGAACGUGGCUAAACUAAGUGGGUUUAGCAACCACAUAGCCUCUCGGAGCUACGGGUCUGUUUAUAAGUAAAUAUGUCGCGAAGAAUCUGGAAAAAUAAUAAAAAUAAAAUG